rnacentral:rRNA from 1 species
CACUUGGAGACGGGAGGCGGAGCCACAUGUGAUAUAUAUUAUUACAGCAGUAACUCUGUUACAUGAAGUUCGGGGUAGAUAUUUGAUGAUGACAUUAUCUAUUCUUAAGUCUUGACAAAAUCACGUGCCAGCAGUCGCGGUAACACGUGGAAGACAAGUGUUAUUCAUCUUUAUUUGGUUUAAAGGGUACCUAGACAGUUAAUCAAGCCUAAAAAAGGGACUAAUUAUACUAGAGUUAUAUAGGAGAAGGCUAGAACGGUGAGUGUAGGGAUGAAAUCCUUUAAUACCACUUAGAGACUGACGACGGCGAAAGCAACCUUUUAUGUAUUAACAGACGUUGAGGGACGAAGGCUCAAGGAAAACAACAGGAUUAGAUACCCCAGUAUUGCGAGCAGACAAUGAUGAGUGUCAUAGGUAAGUAUAAUAAUAUAAUAAAAGAUAUUAUAAUAUUACAAUAUUUGCGUAUAAAUGAAAGUGUAAGCACUCCACCUUAAGAGUAACAUGGCAACAUAGGAACUGAAAUCAUUAGACCGUUUCUGAAACCAGUAGUGAAGUAUGUUGUUUAAUUUGAUGACCCACAAAGAACCUUACCACAAUUUGAAUAUUUUUUCUAUAUAGAAAUUCUACAGGAGUUGCACGGCUGUCUUCAGUUGAUAUCGUGAGAUUUUGGUUAGCUCCAUUAGAUCAACGUAAACCCAUACUUUAAUUAUAAGAUAAAGUAGUUCACCGCUAGAUUGGUAUAGAUAAUAGGGACUAAGACAAGUCACCAUGACCUGAAUAUUGUGGGCUAU